CUUAGGCUCCGCCUUUUAUAAAGACAAGUAGACAGGGGAACAGUUAGGGGUAAGCCACACUUACUCCCAUUGGGUCAGCAAACCUAAAAAACCCUUUUUCCUGUUGGGGGGAGCAGCAUAAAAACCCAAGAAGUACUUAUAGGUACACUGUCAGAUACUCAGAAACCCAGAACUCCAAGACAAAUAAGCAGUGCUAAAGGACACGGCCACAUGUUGCUCUCCAGCCUGCUGUGGGUGUCCCUCGUCUCCAUCUAUUCUGGACCCAGUGUGGCCCAGAAAGUGACCCAAGUCCAGCCACCCACAUUCAGGCCAGAAGGGGAGAGAGUCACCCUGGACUGUUCCUAUGAGACAAGCUGGAGCUCAUACUAUAUUUUUUGGUACAAACAACUUCUGAGUGGAGAGAUGAUUUUCCUUAUUCGACAAAGUUCUUCUGCUGCCACUGGACAGAAUGGUCGCUAUUCUGUCAGAAAAAUAGGUAACUCCAUGGGCCUCACCAUUUCAGCCUUACAGAUGGAAGACUCUGCAAGAUACUUUUGUGCUCUGUGGGAACUCACGGUGUUUCAAAUGAUAGUAAAAGCCGAACAAAAACUCAGGAGCUCUCUGAAAGACAAGUCCUGCUGCAGGAGCCCAGUUGAGAUUCACACCUGCAAGUCCCAGACUAGAAGGGAGAACUGUGGUUUGUCCAUCUGUGAUCUGGAUCAGAAGAUUAAAUUCUAA